UAUUGCAUUUCAAUUCUCCUUCAAAAUACAGCGUGUGUAUGUAAAACAUGGAUCCAAAAGUAACAAGGAAAGCCCACAAAAAAAUAAAUCUUGCAAAGCAGUCCCAAUGAAGAUCCACACAAGAGGUGCACAGAUAGAUGGGGAAAUGAAGAGCGACAGAGCGUGCACGGCUGUAGGGCCAGCGACAACUCGGUCGAGUCUAUUUCUAUAAUGAUCCUUCCGCAGGUUCACCUACGGAAA
rnacentral:misc_RNA from 1 species